rnacentral:rRNA from 1 species
ACCAGUGGCGAAGGCGACUCUCUGGUCUGUAACUGACGCUGAGGAGCGAAAGCGUGGGGAGCGAACAGGAUUAGAUACCCUGGUAGUCCACGCCGUAAACGAUGAGUGCUAAGUGUUAGGGGGUUUCCGCCCCUUAGUGCUGCAGCUAACGCAUUAAGCACUCCGCCUGGGGAGUACGGUCGCAAGACUGAAACUCAAAGGAAUUGACGGGGGCCCGCACAAGCGGUGGAGCAUGUGGUUUAAUUCGAAGCAACGCGAAGAACCUUACCAGGUCUUGACAUCCUCUGACAAUCCUAGAGAUAGGACGUCCCCUUCGGGGGCAGAGUGACAGGUGGUGCAUGGUUGUCGUCAGCUCGUGUCGUGAGAUGUUGGGUUAAGUCCCGCAACGAGCGCAACCCUUGAUCUUAGUUGCCAGCAUUCAGUUGGGCACUCUAAGGUGACUGCCGGUGACAAACCGGAGGAAGGUGGGGAUGACGUCAAAUCAUCAUGCCCCUUAUGACCUGGGCUACACACGUGCUACAAUGGACAGAAC